AUGUGGAAAAUGGCACCUGAGGCCAGCAAAGCCCCAGCCGCCCCUGCCCGCGGGUGUGUGCCAGGCUGGGGCUGGGGACAGCAGUGCCAGGGACACCCCGCCGGGGGCAAAGCAGGGCAGGAACGGGGUUUGGGGUGCGAGCGGAGCGCCGGGCAGGUGCGAGAGCCGCUGCAGGGGACGCAAACACACCCAAAGGGGAUUUUGGGGCACUCUGCCAAGGCUCCGGUCCCUGCGGGGCGGGGGUGGCCGGGGGCAGCGCUCGGUGCCGCUGUCGCGCUCCCGAGCGUGGCUGGGCAGGGUCCGGGCGGGCAGGAGCGGCGGGCCGGGGCAGGGGCCGGGGCAGGGGCUCUGCCGGAGCGGGGGAGGAGCGCGGCCCCGGCCCCGCCGCCCCGGGCCCCGCGCAGGCACCGCCCCCGUUCCCCCCCGGCAGUGCCCGCGCUGCUCCGCGGCCGCUGCGCUGCUCCGGCUCGUCCCGCGCGUCCCGGCGCUCCCGGGCAGCCCGGCAUGGCGGAGAGCCCGGGCCGGCCCCCGGAGCGCAGCGAUGUGCCGCGGGAGGGGGCCGAGGACGAGGCGGCGGCGGGGGCUCCGCCCGGGCUGUGCCCCGAGGGGGCGGCCGAGCCCCCGGACGGGCCCGCGGAGGGGCCGCGCCUGAGCGCGGAGGCGGCGGAACCCCCCCGGGACAGCGGCUCCCUCGACGGCGCGGCGGAGAGCCCGGGGACACCGAGCGCGGAGCAGCGGGACCCCGGCGGGGACAGCCCGGGGCACGAGGGGCAGCCGGGCGGGGAGCCGGGGGCCGCGGGGGUGAUGGACGGGCCCGAGGGCUCCGCGCCGGCCAGGGCAGAGCCCGAGGGAGAGGCGGUGGCACCGGCGGGGACGGAGCCUGAAGGGGCAGCCCCGGCGGCGAUGGAGCCCGAGGACGUGGCUGUGAGCCCAGCGGCGAUGGGGCCCGAGGACGCGGCCGCGGUCCCGACGGCGACAGAGCACGAAGAGGCAGCCCCGACAGCGACAGAGCCCGAGGACGGCGCCGUGACCCCGGUGGGGACGGAGCCCGAGGGCGCAGUGGUUGCUCCGACGGGGACGGAGUCGGAAAAAACAGCCCCGGCGCGGACAGAGCCCGAAGGUGCGAUGGUGGCCCCGGCGGGGACGGAGCCCCAGGUGAGAGAGGCGGUGAGGGAGGAAGCCCCGACGGAGAGAGAGCCCCAGGAGGCGGCGACGACAGUCCCGGCAGAACCAGAGCCCGAGAAGGCUGCGGCGACAGCCCCGGCGGGGACAGAGCGCGGAGAAGCAGAGGCAGAAGCAGAGCCCGGAGAGGCAGAGGCGCCAUCGAGGACAGAGGCCGGAGAGGCGCUGAGACAGGCGGUCCCAGAGGGAAGAGAGCCCGAGGAGGCUGCAGUGACAGCCCCAGUGGGGACAUUCCCAGAGGAUCAAGUGCGGGAGGAAGCCCCAGCGGGGACAGUCCCCGAGGAGGCUGUGCAGGAGGCACCCCCGGCCGAUGUGCGAGUGCUAGAGGAUGAGGUGCAGGAGGCAGCCCCGGCUGGGACAGUCCCUGAGGAAGGGGCGGCCCCGGUGGGGACAGACCCCGAGGAUGCGGUGCAGGAGGCAGAGGCAGAGGCAGAGGCAGAGGCAGCUCCGGCAGGGACAAUCCCUGAGGAUGCGGUGCAGGAGACAGAGGCAGCU
rnacentral:lncRNA from 13 species